CUCUCGGCAACGGAUAUCUCGGCUCUUGCAUCGAUGAAGAACGUAGCGAAAUGCGAUACCUGGUGUGAAUUGCAGAAUCCCGUGAACCAUCGAGUCUUUGAACGCAAGUUGCGCCCGAGGCCAUCCGGCCAAGGGCACGCCUGCCUGGGCGUCAC
rnacentral:rRNA from 3 species